UUACCUGGUUACUUUCGUUUUCCCUGGUUGAUUAUUUUUCAUUUGUGUUUUCCCGUCUGUGUACGUUGUUAGUUCUGUUAUCCUCCGCUUUAUUUUGUGUUCGUUAAGGUUUAUUUUGGACUUUCGCUUUUUGUUCUAGUUAGAUUUGUGUGUGUGUUUUUGCCUGCCCGGUUUCCUUCUCCCCCGGCGGCUUGGAGCGGUACUGUUCCCGGAGAUUGCAGUGGAAGCCAACCAAUGGAUCGCUGGAGGGCGGACCUCACUCACCUGUGCCUCAUUUUCCACCUAAUCAGCUACUGCUUAUAAACGCCGGCUUUUUCACCACCAGUCACCAGAUUGUCUGCUUGUCACCGCGCCCAGCGAUCCAUUCACCAUCUGGCUUCCCUGCGCUCCUGUUGGUUCCUGAACUAGGCUCCUUGCUCCCGUGACCCCGGUUUACCUCUCACUGCCACUGCUUGUUCUUCCUCUGCCCUGGACGGCUUUGGACACCUACCCCUCUUGGACCUGGACACAUCACAGCUCCUCAUCUCCCAAAGAACCGCUCCAGCCGCUUCCUCAGUGUCCCCUGUUUGGACUUAUCGCUAUUUUCCCUGUCUUCCUGUAUUUCAAUAAAUAUUCAUUGCCAA